rnacentral:misc_RNA from 1 species
GGGUAUUUCAGAAUAAAUUAUAUAAAUAAUUACCUGUACUGUUUUAAAUACACUGUACAGAACUCCCCCUAUGGUUGGCUUGAUUACAAGAUUAAGCCAACACAAGCUCCCCUUCUUCUUGCUGUUCUUGUUGCUCAGCUUGCCGACCCUCCCUAUAAGGAAGAAGAAUUCGCUUGAUCUCUUCCGCACCAAGUGUUUCAUACUCUAAAAGUGCAUUUGCUAACUCAUGUAGUGCCUUCUCGUGCUUCUUUAAUAGGGCUUUUACACGACCAUACGCUUCUCUUAGGAGUUUCACCACUUCAGCAUCAAUUCGUGACUGCAGUUCUGAACUUGGUUGCUCUUUGAUAUGAACUGGCCCUAUUGUAUCGCUCAUCCCACAAUUUGAUACCAUAUAAUGCGCAAGUUCAGUAGCUGUAUGAAUAUCACCACUUGCUCCAGUAGUGAUAAGGUCCUGACCAAAUAUAAGCUCUUCUGCAACUCUUCCCCCCAUACAAACAUCAAGACGAGCUAAUAACUGCUUCUUGCUAAUUGAUGUCUCAUCACUUGAAGGAAGCUGGGUGACCAUUCCUAAAGC